CCUACGGGUGGCAGCAGUGAGGAAUAUUGGUCAAUGGACGAGAGUCUGAACCAGCCAAGUAGCGUGAAGGAUGACUGCCCUAUGGGUUGUAAACUUCUUUUAUAUGGGAAUAAAACGUUCCACGUGUGGGAUUUUGUAUGUACCAUAUGAAUAAGGAUCGGCUAACUCCGUGCCAGCAGCCGCGGUAAUACGGAGGAUCCGAGCGUUAUCCGGAGUUAUUGGGUUUAAAGGGAUCGUAGGUGGAUUGUUAAGUCAGUUGUGAAAGUUUGCGGCUCAACCGUAAAAUUGCAGUUGAAACUGGCAGUCGUGAGUACAGUAGAGGUGGGCGGAAUUCGUGGUGUAGCGGUGAAAUGCUUAGAUAUCACGAAGAACUCCGAUUGCGAAGGCAGCUCACUGGACUGCAACUGACACUGAGGCUCGAAAGUGUGGGUAUCAAACAGGAUUAGAUACCCCAGUAGUC
rnacentral:rRNA from 1 species